rnacentral:rRNA from 1 species
GACGAACGCUGGCGGCGUGCUUAACACAUGCAAGUCGAACGAUGAAGCCCUUUCGGGGGUGGAUUAGUGGCGAACGGGUGAGUAACACGUGGGUAACCUGCCCUGUACCCUGGGAUAAGCCUUGGAAACGAGGUCUAAUACCGGAUAUGACCUGCUCUCGCAUGGGGGUGGGUGGAAAGUUUUGGCGGUGCAGGAUGGACCCGCGGCCUAUCAGCUUGUUGGUGGGGUGAUGGCCUACCAAGGCGACGACGGGUAGCCGGCCUGAGAGGGCGACCGGCCACACUGGGACUGAGACGCGGCCCAGACUCCUACGGGAGGCAGCAGUGGGGAAUAUUGCACAAUGGGCGAAAGCCUGAUGCAGCGACGCCGCGUGAGGGAUGACGGCC